rnacentral:misc_RNA from 1 species
GAAUGACAGAUCUCCUUUCAACUGGUAGUGGUGAUGCAAAUCUUAUCUCUGGAAUCUCUCAUGCACUUGACAAGAAUGGCCAUGGGACAGGAAGUGCAGUUACUCUGCCAGCACAAUUAAGCAAGGGACCAAAUACUAAAGAGGCUUUGGAAAAAGAUGCACUUGUGAGACAAAUGGGUGUGAACCCAACAAGUCAGAAUCCCAACUUAUUCAAGGAUUUGCUUGGGUAAGGUACAUGACAUGAUUGAUAUAGAUUUGUGUUGCUGGAAAGGUACAAGUAUGUUUGAUGGCCGAUCGUACAAUUGAAAGUACAAUUUGCAAGGAACUAAUAGUUGUAUGAGCCUGUGGUAUAUUUUAACGCAGUUGCAGUUGCAGUUGGGAAAGUUUUAAGUACAAAUGGUUUCGACCGGUAGGAAUAGGUGAGGAGGCCGCGCUAGCUUUUUCACUUUGAGGUUUCCAGAGCAAAAGCUUGUCAAGCUUGGUGCAGUCAUGUCUAUGGAUUUUCCAUGCUUUUCAAGUUGUCAGAGUUGUGUUUUAUGUGAAUUUUCCCUUUUGUCUAUCUUAUUGAGACCAUUCAAUAUGUUUUUUUGGAGGCAAACUGUACCAUUUGGAGAAGGGGUAUUGUACCCCUUAUGUGAAUGUAAGUAGUACUCAUUUUUCAGGUUAAAUUGAUACCAUGCCAAGGCAGCUAGUUUUGCAAAAUCUUUGUCGUCU